rnacentral:lncRNA from 1 species
AAACUCGUGCCCACAAAGGAUCUGGGAGUCAGAAUACCUGGACACAUCCAAACAAUGGGAUUGCUCUGAGUGGCUUCUCUCCACCUCCAAUUAUGUUUCAUUAAAAACAAAAAGCACACCUUUGUACUUGUGGAAGAAUGCAGCACACACUUAUGGUAUGAACUGUCAGUCAGGUCUACAUCCCCUAGUUGGAUGUGUUCCACAGCCUGACUCAUCUUUCAAGGACAAGAUGGCGAGAACAGCAGUGAACAGUGACAACAAAGUUUCUGAGGUCUGGGUUAGGGGAAGCAAGCUGUCAUUCCAUGAGCUGGCUCAUGGAGAGGCCCACAUGGCAAGAAGCAUUGAGGUCUGCCGGCAGCUCCAUGCGGGAGCUUGGAAAUGGUUUCUCCUUCAAGAGAAUCGAAUGCCCCCACUUACAGCAGGCAGAGCUCAGGCAGAAAGGCAAGCAUGGGAGCAGCUGUAAAUACAGACUGUUGGAGCUAACUUCAGCCUCUGAAGCUUGCUUUUCUCCAAUGGGAGGAUCUAUUUCCUUGAUGAGUAACCAGUCUAGAGUUCCUCAGAAGCCACUAAAGAAACAGUUAAAGACAAAGGAAAAAAGGAUGUCAGAGAGUAUGUGAGUGUCAUGUCAACUGGGGAGAUGGAAACACAAACUGCGUGUUCAUUAUUUCAAAUGUAAUGGCAUAGCAUGGAGCAUACAGAAAUAUUCAGCACAUGGGUGUUUGUAGAAGGGGGUUUAUGGCAGCACUAUUGGAGUAGUGGACAUUUAGAAAACCAAUUAAAUGUCCAGAAUUGAUUAAAUAGGUUGUUUCUCCAUACUUUGAAGAGUGGGAAGGAGGUUUGGGAUGCAAUUCUGUGGCAGAGCAUUUAUUUAGCAUGUGCAAAGUGCUGAUUUGAUCCCUAGAACCACAAAAAUUUAAAAAAAAAUUUAAAUGAGGUAGAAACAAUGCACUGAUUGAUAAUGGGAAACCUGCAGGACAUAGUUGAGUGGAAAAAGCAAGGUAGAACAAUGUAUAUGGCAUGAUGCUUUUACGUUAAAUAUCACGGACCUCCAGGAAGAUGGUGGAGUGGUGAGCAGCAGAGAAAGAGCCUCUUCAAAACUUGGUGUCCUGAUACUGGAAUGUAGCAGUGUGAGGAGCAGAAGAUGAGAAGUUUCUGCCUACUUGGCCCAGCCACCAGUUCUCUGGCACUGGAAUAUAUAAAGAAUUAAAAAAAAUAAGACCCACAAAAUUUAAAGACCCAAUCCAAAAAUGGGCAUCUGAAAUGAACAGACAUUUCUCAGACAAAGAAGAAGAA